rnacentral:rRNA from 1 species
UGCGUAGGCGGAUUAAUAAGUCAGUGGUGAAAACCUGCAGCUUAACUGUAGAACUGCCAUUGAUACUGUUAGUCUUGAGUACGGUCAAGGUAGGCGGAAUGUGUAAUGUAGCGGUGAAAUGCUUAGAUAUUACACAGAACACCGAUUGCGAAGGCAGCUUACUGGACCAUUACCGACGCUGAGGCACGAAAGCGUGGGGAGCGAACAGGAUUAGAUACCCUGGUAGUCC